AUUUGUGACAAUAAUAGUGCAAUUGCAGAGUAGGAGGUGAAUCUCUAUAAAGAAAACUGUUGAUUUAUUUUGCAUGUUUUUUAACAGAAGUGUCAAUGAAGGUUCUAAAGGCUACUACAGUAGGAAAUUAAGUGAAUUCCACAUGGACACACACCUUUUUGAAGAUGAAGUGAAACAUUUCAUUUAUUUUAUCGAAAGUGAUGAGGUCUGUGCUUCGAGAUCACCAGUUGAUUUGUAUAGACUUGUACCUGACGGUUUGGAGGCAACCUUUCCUUAUAGAAACCAUUUUGAAAAUAUUUUUUAACAAUACCUGUCACAAAUGCUUCUGGUGAAAGUUCUUUUUCUGUACUGAAAUAAGUUAAAAUUAUUUGCUAUAUACAAUGAGUCAGGACCAUUUGACACGUUCAGCAAUAUUGACAAUUAAAAGUGCCUCUUUACAAACUAUUACUUACGAUGACUUAAUUGACGAUUUUGUUAAGAAAAAGUGUACAAAGAAAGCUAUCAAUACAUAUCUUUUUUCCAAAUUGAAUAUGUUUCUUCAGAGGAAGUUAACUUUUUUCCAUUCAUGCAUCAUCAAUACAUUUUAUUUUUACACAUUUUGCAUGUUAGCUUAAUACAAAUACAGUACAAGCUUUCAUUUAGACCAGAGGUUGUCAAACUGUGCUCCGAGAACUCCAUUGAGGUGGACCAAGGAAAGGUGGUUAUGUUUGUUGUAAUAAAGCAUUCUCAUCCAAAGCACUUUACAAUAGUUAGCUCAUGGUACAAACACUAUUUGGAAAGAUCAUUAAGUGGCCCACCAAGACCCUCAGCAAUUUUCAAGUGGUCUGUGGGGAAGAAAAGUUAAGAUGACAAAAACAUUCAAGGUUGGAGACCUCGUGAAAGUUACAAGAAUGAAUAUAAAUGGUCAGUGGGAAGGUGAAGUCAAUGGCAGAAAAGGGCUCUUCCCUUUCACGCACGUCAAAAUAAUUGACCCUCAAAACCCAGAUGAAAAUGAGUGAUUCCUGUUGCCCAGCUUACACUGCUGCUUCAUUUUUCUGGUAUUCGAGGUGGGGAUGGUGCCUGUUAAUGGCACACUGCUAGCACUGUCCAUUUUUUUUUCUAGCUUGCUGCAGUUUGAUGGUUCUUUUUAUACCCAUUUGGAAUGCACACAACUGAAGUCAUGUACUGACCAUACCAUAGUUGCAUCAUCCAGGCUGUAGCAUCGCUUCUAGAACUAUUUUGGCCCUUAAGAUGGAGAAGACUUGAAGCCACACAGGUAGAUAGGAGCAAGAAAAUCUUUCCUUUUGAGGCUUUCAAGGAUAGCAUAUUCUGGCCUAAUCAUUAGGAGGAGAGUUCUAACUCUCUCAGAUCAAAUAUGAAACUUUUGCAUCACUGUACAAACAGAGCAACAAGAAAAAACUGCAAUUUGGGGCUGAAGGAGGGAAGAGCUAGAUUUGAGCAAUCCCAAGAUAGUAUAAUCAAAAAGUCUUUUUUUAAGACAAAUUGGACAUUUUGAGCAGCUAUUUUAACAAGGUUGUUUU